rnacentral:rRNA from 1 species
CCUCUAGAGAUUCCUACGGGAGGCAGCAGUAGGGAAUCUUCCGCAAUGGACGAAAGUCUGACGGAGCAACGCCGCGUGAGUGAUGAAGGCUUUCGGGUCGUAAAACUCUGUUGUUAGGGAAGAACAAGUGCUAGUUGAAUAAGCUAGCACCUUGACGGUACCUAACCAGAAAGCCACGGCUAACUACGUGCCAGCAGCCGCGGUAA